rnacentral:rRNA from 1 species
CAGCAGCCGCGGUAAGACAGAGGAUGCAAGCGUUAUCCGGAAUGAUUGGGCGUAAAGCGUCUGUAGGUGGCUUUUCAAGUCCGCCGUCAAAUCCCAGGGCUCAACCCUGGACAGGCGGUGGAAACUACCAAGCUGGAGUACGGUAGAGGGGGAUGGAAUUCCGCGUGUAGCAGUGAAAUGCGUAGAUAUGCGGAGGAACACCGAUGGCGAAGGCAAUCCCCUGGGCCUGUACUGACGCUCAUGCACGAAAGCGUGGGGAGCAAACAGGAUUAGAUACCCCAGUAGUCCCUGUCUCUUAUAC